rnacentral:tRNA from 1 species
GGGGAAUUAGCUCAAAUGGUAGAGCGCUUGCUUAGCAUGCGAGAGGUAGCGGGAUCGAUACGCGCAUUCUCCA